UAUAUAACAACAAACGGAAGUAGUAAGUUUAAGAAGAAUUUCAGAAAGCAUGUGGUUGAUGUGAACGUGUAACUUAUUAAACUGAACUCGUCCACUUAAGUUUGAUCACUGAACUAAAAGUAAGUGAUUACGUAAAUUCUGCGUUAAAGAUAUCGAGAGUCGCCAUUUGGCGGAACUUAGGUGGUAACGCGAUAAUUCGUCCUAUGA
rnacentral:ncRNA from 1 species